rnacentral:rRNA from 1 species
AUUGAACGCUGGCGGCAGGCCUAACACAUACAAGUCGAACGGUAACAGAAAGCAGCUUGCUGCUUUGCUGACGAGUGGCGGACGGGUGAGUAAUGUCUGGGAAACUGCCUGAUGGAGGGGGAUAACUACUGGAAACGGUAGCUAAUACCGCAUAACGUCGCAAGACCAAAGAGGGGGACCUUCGGGCCUCUUGCCAUCGGAUGUGCCCAGAUGGGAUUAGCUAGUAGGUGGGGUAAAGGCUCACCUAGGCGACGAUCCCUAGCUGGUCUGAGAAGAUGACCAGCCACACUGGAACUGAGACACGGUCCAGACUCCUACGGGAGGCAGCAGUGGGGAAUAUUGCACAAUGGGCGCAAGCCUGAUGCAGCCGUGCCGCGUGUAUGAAGAAGGCCUUCGGGUUGUAAAGUACUUUCAGCGGGGAGGAAGGGAGUAAAGUUAAUACCUUUGCUCAUUGACGUUACCCGCAGAAGAAGCACCGGCUAACUCCGUG